AUCCAGCUGACGAGUCCCAAAUAGGACGAAGAUUGCGUCCUGGAU
rnacentral:hammerhead_ribozyme from 1 species